UGGGCGUAAGAGCUCGUAGGCGGUCUGUCGCGUCGGCUGUGAAAACUCGGGGCUCAACCCCGAGCCUGCAGUCGAUACGGGCAGACUAGAGUGCUGUAGGGGAGACUGGAAUUCCUGGUGUAGCGGUGAAAUGCGCAGAUAUCAGGAGGAACACCGGUGGCGAAGGCGGGUCUCUGGGCAGUAACUGACGCUGAGGAGCGAAAGCGUGGGGAGCGAACAGGAUUAGAUACCCUGGUAGUCCACGCCGUAAACGGUGGGUGCUAGGUGUAGGCGGUAUUCCACGCCGUCUGUGCCGCAGCUAACGCAUUAAGCACCCCGCCUGGGGAGUACGGCCGCAAGGCUAAAACUCAAAGGAAUUGACGGGGGCCCGCACAAGCAGCGGAGCAUGUGGCUUAAUUCGACGCAACGCGAAGAACCUUACCAAGGCUUGACAUACAUCGAAAACUCGUGGAGACACGGGGUCCGCAAGGGCGGUGUACAGGUGGUGCAUGGUUGUCGUCAGCUCGUGUCGUGAGAUGUUGGGUUAAGUCCCGCAACGAGCGCAACCCUCGUUCUAUGUUGCCAGCGCGUGAUGGCGGGGACUCAUAGGAGACUGCCGGGGUCAACUCGGAGGAAGGUGGGGACGACGUCAAAUCAUCAUGCCCCUUAUGUCUUGGGCUGCACACAUGCUACAAUGGCCGGUACAAAGGGCUGCUAAGCCGUGAGGUGGAGCGAAUCUCAAAAAGCCGGUCUCAGUUCGGAUUGGGGUCUGCAACUCGACCCCAUGAAGUCGGAGUUGCUAGUAAUCGCAGAUCAGCAACGCUGCGGUGAAUACGUUCCCGGGCCUUGUACACACCGCCCGUCACGUCACGAAAGUCGGUAACACCCGAAGCCAGUGGCCCAACCCGGAAGGGGGGGAGCUGUCGAAGGUGGGAUCGGCGAUUGGGACGCAGUCGUCACAAUCUAACUGU
rnacentral:rRNA from 1 species